UCCCUAUGACCCGGCGCCGAUGGAUCUGUCCGGCUGGUACGAGGUCUAUCUUUCCGGCAAGUGGUACACGUUCGAUGCGCGUCACAACAAGCCGCGGAUCGGCCGCAUCCUGUUGGGGAUCGGCCGCGAUGCCGCAGACGUUGCAAUCUCGACGACCUUCGGGCAGAUGGUGCUGAACAAGUUCGUCAUCGUGAGUGACGAGGUUAUGGAAUCCAAGGCCAGCUAGUGAUCCGGUUCUGACAUUCGUAUCAUUUCCCGGCCGACACCUUUUACGAAUGUCAGAACCAAAGGAUCAC
rnacentral:misc_RNA from 1 species